rnacentral:rRNA from 1 species
UCGAACGCUGGCGGCGUCGCCUAAUACAUGCAAGUCGAACGGAGAAACGGGAGCAAUACCUGUGAGUACAGUGGCGUACGGGUGAGUAUUACACGUGGAUAACCUACCCUCGAGUGGGGGAUAACCCCGAGUUGCUAAUACCGCGUACGCUAAUACCGCAUAACAUCGGUUCGGAGAAUCAAUACGUGGGUAAUCCGCCUUGAGGAGGGGGCUCAUGCGGCUGAUCAGCUUAGUUGGUGAGGUAACGGCUCACCAAGGCGAUUCGAUCGGGUAGCGGAUCUGAGAGGAUGAGCACGGCCACACUGGCAACUGCAACACGGUCCAGACUCCUACGGGAGGCAGCAGUAGGGAAUAUUGCGCAAUGGGGGAAACCCUGACGCAGCGACGCCGCGGUGGAGGAUGAAGUCCUUCGGAUUGUAAACUCCCUUUCGGACCGGAAGAUGUAUGGACCCUUCGGUACGGGUACCUCCAGAAGCAGCCACGGCUAACUUCGUGCCAGCAGCCGCGGUAAUACGAGGGUGCAAGCGUUGUUCGGAUUACUGGCGUACAGGGAGCGUAGGCGGUUGGGUAAGUCACUCCGUGAAAUCUCCUAGGCUUAACUGGAAGUGCAGAGGGGAACUGCUCGCUAGGAGGAUGGGAGAGGAUGCGCGGAAUUCCCGGUGUAGCGGUGAAAUGCGUAGAUAUCGGGAGGAAGCCUGUGGCGAAGGCGGCGCAUCUGGACACAUUCUGACGCAUGAGGCGCGAAAGCUAGGGGAGCAAACAGGAUUAGAUACCCUGGUAGUCCAGCCCUUAAACUAGGAUGCUUAGUGUCGUGCGGUUACCAAUCCCACUGUGCCGGCAGCUAACGCAGUAAGUAUCCGCCUGGGGAGUACGGUCGCAAGGUUGAAACUCAAAGGAAUUGACGGGGGCCCGCACAAGCGGUGGAGCAUGUGGUUUAAUUCGACGCAACGCGAAGAACCUUACCUAGGCUGGACAUGCACGUAGUAGAAGGAUGAAAGUCUAACGAGGGUAGCAAAUACCAGCGUGCUCAGGUGCUGCAUGGCUGUCGUCAGCUCGUGCCGUGAGGUGUUGGGUUAAGUCCCGCAACGAGCGCAACCCCUGUCUUCAGUUACCAACGGGUCAUGCCGGGAACUCUGGAGAGACUGCCCAGGAGAACGGGGAGGAAGGUGGGGAUGACGUCAAGUCAGCAUGGCUUUAUGCCUAGGGCUACACACGUGCUACAAUGGCCGGCACAAAGCGCUGCAAACCCGUGAGGGGGAGCCAAUCGCAAAAAAACCGGCCUCAGUUCAGAUCGAGGUCUGCAACUCGACCUCGUGAAGGCGGAAUCGCUAGUAAUCCCGGAUCAGCACGCCGGGGUGAAUACGUUCCCGGGCCUUGUACACACCGCCCGUCACACCACGAAAGUUUGUUGUACCUGAAGUCGUCGACGCCAACCGCAAGGAGGCAGACGCCCACGGUAUGACCGAUGAUUGGGGUG